rnacentral:rRNA from 1 species
AAUGAACGCUGGCGGCAGGCCUAACACAUGCAAGUCGAACGAGGCAGCAAUGCCUAGUGGCGGACGGGUGAGUAACGCGUGGGAACGUGCCCCUUGGUACGGAAUAGCCCUGGGAAGCUGGGAGUAAUACCGUAUGUGGUCGAGAGACGAAAGAUUUAUCGCCAAGGGAUCGGCCCGCGUUGGAUUAGGUAGUUGGUGGGGUAAUGGCCCACCAAGCCGACGAUCCAUAGCUGGUUUGAGAGGAUGAUCAGCCACACUGGGACUGAGACACGGCCCAGACUCCUACGGGAGGCAGCAGUGGGGAAUCUUAGACAAUGGGGGAAACCCUGAUCUAGCCAUGCCGCGUGAUCGAUGAAGGCCUUAGGGUUGUAAAGAUCUUUCAGUGGGGAAGAUAAUGACGGUAUCCACAGAAGAAGCCCCGGCUAACUCCGUGCCAGCCGCCGCCGUAA